AGAGUUUGAUCAUGGCUCAGGACUAACGCUGGCGGCGUGCCUAACACAUGCAAGUCGAACGAGAGUAGCAAUACUCUAGUGGCAGACGGGUGAGUAACACGUGGUCAACCUUCCUUUUAGUGGGGGAUAACUAGCCGAAAGGUUAGCUAAUACCGCAUACGAUCUUCGAGCGGCAUCGCUUGAAGAGGAAAGGAGCAAUC
rnacentral:rRNA from 1 species